rnacentral:rRNA from 1 species
GAUGAACGCUGGCGGCGUGCCUAAUACAUGCAAGUCGAGCGAACAGACGAGGAGCUUGCUCCUCUUACGUUAGCGGCGGACGGGUGAGUAACACGUGGAUAACCUACCUAUAAGACUGGGAUAACUUCGGGAAACCGGAGCUAAUACCGGAUAAUAUAUUGAACCGCAUGGUUCAAUAGUGAAAGACGGUUUUGCUGUCACUUAUAGAUGGAUCCGCGCCGCAUUCGCUAGUUGGUAAGGUAACGGCUUACCAAGGCAACGAUGCGUAGCCGACCUGAGAGGGUGAUCGGCCACACUGGAACUGAGACACGGUCCAGACUCCUGCGGGAGGCAGCAGUAGAGAAUCUUCCGCAAUGGGCGAACGCCUGACGGAGCAACGCCGCGUGAGUGAUGAAGGUCUUCGGAUCGUAAAACUCUGUUAUUGGGGAAGAACAAAUGUGUAAGUAACUAUGCACGUCUUGACGGUACCUAAUCAGAACGCCACGGCUAACUACG